CCUACGGGAGGCAGCAGUGAGGAAUAUUGGUCAAUGGGCGAGAGCCUGAACCAGCCAAGUCGCGUGAGGGAGUACUGCCCUAUGGGUUGUAAACCUCUUUUGUCGGGGAGCAAAAGCCGGACGUGUCCGGCUGUGAGAGUACCCGAAGAAAAAGCAUCGGCUAACUCCGUGCCAGCAGCCGCGGUAAUACGGAGGAUGCGAGCGUUAUCCGGAUUUAUUGGGUUUAAAGGGUGCGCAGGCGGAUUUUUAAGUCAGCGGUAAAAUCGUGGGGCUCAACCCCAUCCAGCCGUUGAAACUGGUGAUCUAGAGGGUGCGAGAGGUAUGCGGAAUGCGUGGUGUAGCGGUGAAAUGCAUAGAUAUCACGCAGAACCCCGAUUGCGAAGGCAGCAUACCGGUGCACAACUGACGCUCAGGCACGAAAGCGUGGGUAUCGAACAGGAUUAGAUACCCCAGUAGUC
rnacentral:rRNA from 1 species